AGGCAGCAGCGGUAAUAAGGAGGGGGUUAGCGUUGUUAGGAAUUAAUGGGCGUAAAGAGCACGUAGGCGGAUCGGAAAGUUGGGGGUGAAAUACCGGGGCUCAACCCCGGAACUGCCUCCAAAACUAUAGGUCUGGAGUUCGAGAGAGGUGAGUGGAAUUAUGAGUGUAGAGGUGAAAUUAGUAGAUAUUAGGAGGAACACCAGUAGCGAAGGCGGCUCACUGGAUCGAUACUGAAGCUGAGGUGCGAAAGUAUGGGGAGCAAACAGGAUUAGAUACACUGGUAGUACACACCGUAAACGGUGAAUGCGAGAAGUCGGGCAGCAUGAUUAGUAG
rnacentral:rRNA from 1 species